rnacentral:rRNA from 1 species
AACGGGUGGUAAUGCCGGAUGUUCCAGUUGAUCGCAUGGUCUUCUGGGAAAGCUUUCGCGGUAUGGGAUGGGGUCGCGUCCUAUCAGCUUGACGGCGGGGUAACGGCCCACCGUGGCUUCGACGGGUAGCCGGCCUGAGAGGGCGACCGGCCACAUUGGGACUGAGAUACGGCCCAGACUCCUACGGGAGGCAGCAGUGGGGAAUAUUGCACAAUGGGCGCAAGCCUGAUGCAGCGACGCCGCGUGAGGGAUGGAGGCCUUCGGGUUGUAAACCUCUUUUAUCGGGGAGCAAGCGUGAGUGAGUUUACCCGUUGAAUAAGCACCGGCUAACUACGUGCCAGCAGCCGCGGUAAUACGUAGGGUGCAAGCGUUAUCCGGAAUUAUUGGGCGUAAAGGGCUCGUAGGCGGUUCGUCGCGUCCGGUGUGAAAGUCCAUCGCUUAACGGUGGAUCCGCGCCGGGUACGGGCGGGCUUGAGUGCGGUAGGGGAGACUGGAAUUCCCGGUGUAACGGUGGAAUGU